CCCAUUUGCACCCUUCCCUGCUCCUGUUCAGGUAUUGCACUGGACCAGGAUGAUGAACUUCCACUACUUCAGAUUGUCCCACACAUUGGCUUUUAAAGGCAUUACCUUAGAAGACAAGAACCAGACCACUGUUUCAACAAGUAUUUGGUCAUGACUUUAAAAGGAGACAUCAGGUGUACGAGUCUCAAGUUUUCCCACUGGGUGGGGUGCAUUUCCUUGCAGUCAGAUAAACUUUCAGAAUUUUCUCAUCAACUUGUCAACAGCAAGGUUUGUACACUGUCAAGCACGUAGCUCACACCAAACAAAAGGAGACUGAGCACCAAGUGUUGCUGCAUCCCUCUUGUCCCCUCCAUCUAUACAAUGCCCUGACAGGGUUUUCUUCUAAUAAUGCGGUAGCAUUAUAGACCCUGUCAACUGCAGGCUCUGAAAACCUCCACUCUUCAAGCACUUACACAUGCGAGGAGUUCUAUUACAUUAAGUGGGAGCAUUUUCAUAAAAAUAUAAAGCAGUUUCAAGAUUUUUCAGGACUAUGGCCACAGACAAGCAAAUAAUUCCAUUUGGCCAAGAAGGCUCACGCUCAGUAUUCAGCUUUCAAAUUUUUCUUCUUAAUAUUUUUUGUUUUGCUGAAUUUAUGGAGCUCUAUGAAACAAUGCAUACAGAACUGUGUAUAAAUAAUGUACAUGAGGUAUAUGCAUUACCAAAAUGUAUACAUAUAUACACAUACAGAUGGAUUUGAAAAACAUUAACAGAAAUUGUUUAAUGCUUUUAAAUUAACAGGAAUUUAAAGACACCAUACAUAUACUGAUAUAUGCAUGGCAGAGAAAGCUGUAUAUGCUUAUGACAUACAGAAACAAUGAAAGUUCUUAGACAAAACCUAACUUAUUCUUGUAUAAGGAAAAAAAAAAAAAUCUACGUUCAGACAGUACAGUAUGUUCAGUCAAGUUCCAGCUUGUACAGGGAAGUAUUUUCUGUAAACGUUUUAACAAGCCAGAUGAACUUCAUGUAUAAACUUUGAAAGAAUGUUUAUAUAAGAGUCAUAAAAAGAGUACACUUCAUUAAAAGCACCAUGUAUCUGCUCCCUGAGAAAUCUUUUUUUACAUCAUGUUCCAAACUAAUCAGAUGUUUUGAGACAGAAAGUUUUACAUGAAAAACCUUAAAAGUUAUGAGAAUUACAGAAACUUUAAAAAAACAAUCAGGGAUUUCUGUUGUGUUAGUUAGGAAAGUGUUACACUUCCACAGUCUGGUUUUGUUUCCUAACUGCGUCCAAUGCUCAGGACUUGAUCUGUACUUGAAAGAAGCUGUCACCUCUCUCAUCACCUGACUCCACCUCACUUUGUUUACUCCAUGAAAAAUGAAUUAACAUCCAUUUUCCACACACUGAUAGAGUACAUAAGAUCCAAAAGGAUUCUAUUUUAUUAUCAUCAUCACACUUUUGUUGAAAAAUAAAGGCUUGCAUCUCUUGCAUAGCUCAAUAGUAUGAUGCAACUACUAUCAACGAUCUCCAGUUUGCACAAUAUUCUUCCUUAUUUUUGUGCCAACACACCUCAAUAAAGUGAGCAGUUCCCUCCCUCCAAGAAUUUGUCCCCAUGCUACAGAACUUUUUCCUAAGCAUGCAGUGGUCACUGAAGACCACAAAGUCUGUCUUUUUCGAGUUCUGCAUCAUACACGAUUACCACAUUUUUUUUUCUCUGCUGAGCAGAAGUCCAUUUUCCUGCAAAAGGUUUCAGAGUGAAAGGGAAGGGGUAGGGGUGGGGAAUAAGAAUCAGACGUAAGUUUUUGUUUUCAUAAAGAAGUGGCAGCAGCCGAGAUUCAGAAGAA